UUGCCCUAGUAACGGCGAGUGAAGCGGCAACAGCUCAAAUUUGAAAUCUGGCGCAAGCCCGAGUUGUAAUUUGUAGAGGAUGCUUCUGGGCAGCGGCCGGUCUAAGUUCCUUGGAACAGGACGUCACAGAGGGUGAGAAUCCCGUAUGUGAUCGGUUGGCACCCGCUACGUAGCUCCUUCGACGAGUCGAGUUGUUUGGGAAUGCAGCUCUAAAUGGGAGGUAAAUGCCUUCUAAAGCUAAAUACCGGCCAGAGACCGAUAGCGCACAAGUAGAGUGAUCGAAAGAUGAAAAGCACUUUGGAAAGAGAGUUAAAAAGCACGUGAAAUUGUUGAAAGGGAAGCGCAUGCAACCAGACUUGUCGGCGGUGUUCCGCCGGUCUUUUGACCGGUCUACUCGCCGUCGGCAGGCCAGCAUCAUCUGGGUGCGCCGGAUAAAGGCCUUGGGAAUGUAGCUCCUCGGAGUGUUAUAGCCCUUGGUGCAAUACGGUGCCGCCCGGGUGAGGUCCGCGCUUCGGCUAGGAUGCUGGCGUAAUGGUUGUCUGCGGCCCGUCUUGAAACACGGACCAAGGAGUCUAACAUCUAUGCGAGUGUUCGGGUGUCAAACCCCUACGCGCAAUGAAAGUGAACGGAGGUGGGAACUUCGGUGCACCAUCGACCGAUCCUGAUGUCCUCGGAUGGAUUUGAGUAAGAGCAUAGCUGUUGGGACCCGAAAGAUGGUGAACUAUGCCUGAAUAGGGUGAAGCCAGAGGAAACUCUGGUGGAGGCUCGCAGCGGUUCUGACGUGCAAAUCGAUCGUCAAAUUUGGGUAUA
rnacentral:rRNA from 1 species